AGAAGAAGAACCGUCAUCGUCGCAGGCCGGCGCAUCCGACCGAGCGCCAUGUCGCGCAUCCGACCGAGCGCCAUGUCGCGUCCUCAUCGCGCACCACUAUCAGAUGAAGCUGCCAGCGUGAUCUCAACUUUUCUGGUCUCUUAAAGGAAAGAUCAGAUCAUGUGGCAGCUUCACCUGUUGCUGGGAGCUCGAGAAAACCCUAAUUCCAGAUUUUUGUCUCCGGUCAUGCUGGCGUCCUUCUUCGAAAGGUACAAGAAGUUUCCGAAUAAGAUAUCUGGCGAUCAUCUGAACUAAUUUGGGUUACUGUAGUUCUGUACUGCAAUUUCCUGUCUGAGGAAAUAAUCAGGUGUGUCCAGUAUGAAUUUGUCCCCUUGUCUGUAGAGUCUUUUAUUUUAGAUUUUUUUUUUUUUUUUUGGGGGUUGAAUCAUGCCUUCCUUUUUCUUCUGGGGGCUUUCUGGUGUAGGGUUUUGAGGCAAGAACGGUUGUCAUCUGUUCGGGAUUGGAGGGUCCAUUGAAAUUCUAACUUUUGGUCUCAAGGCUCGGUGAAGGGCCUGUACUGUGCGAUUAAUUUCGAGAUCUGUACUUGUGCUUUGGUGAUUGAGCGCUAUCUAUUUUCUCCUGUAAUAGUAAUCCCGAUAAUUAAUUAGGUAAAGUGCCAAGGCAAAGAAGAUGAUAAAGACUACUUAAAUAUUAAAAGGAAAUGGAGAUAUCAGCUUAGAGGAAGACCAGUCAACACUCAGGUACAGGAUUGACCUUAACUAAGUGACAUUCGUGCUUGAACGUCUGCAAACGAAAAAUGCUCGAACAUUAUAUUUGAAGCUAGUCCACCAACUUUGUUUGACAGAUUUGAGUAGAUCUGACCAUAGGAUUAACACUUCCAAGCUAGCAUAUACUUGAAGAACAAACCUUGAUGCAUUAAAUUGAACAAAACCUAUAAUGCAUUAGGUUGAUUAACUAAGUGAAAUAACCGAAUUUGCAGAUUAUGUGUAACUAUAAUUGUUUUUAUAUGCUUCGUUUUCUCAAGUUUGAUUUGCGUCAGCUAGUCACCUGCAGAAAGUAGACAUUUUGUCCUCGCCUGUUUUGAAGCUGUGUGUACUGAGAAUAUUUGAAAAUUAGCAGCAACUUAGAUGCUGAGCCAGGCGGUUAUGUUCAGCUCUCUCCGGCGACACUUGUCAGAUGUGUUUGCUUUGAUACCACUAAUUCAUCUUUUCAUGAAAGGUACUGUCUGAGCCUUGUAGAAAGCCCAACUAAUUUCACUCUCGGUGGUCCUCUUGUCCCUGAGGAUGAUUAUAAGAAAGUUGCCUUUUAUUGUUACUGGAAUUGAUUCUUUCCUGCAAUGUUCUCACCCAAUUAAGCUUACUUUUGAGGCUAUUACAAUAUGCCGUUGAUUAAAUGAGACGGUGGUAAUAAAUAUGGAGAUCGCAUGGAAUUCACAGAACGUUCACCAUUGUCUGAUAAUACACACUGUGUUCCAUGAAUAAUAGGAGAUCUCACUUCACUAUUAUUCUUACAUUCACUCUGAUCGCACAUGGGGACUAGGUGGUUUGAAAGCCACCCACCUGUGUUCUUCAAGGUUCACAGAUGGUGACAUAUCCUCUCUCUCUCUCUCUCUCUCUCUCUCACACACACACACACACACACACACGACAGGUUUCUGCCUGUUUCGCUGAAAAGAAUAGAUGUCUACUACCAGCAAACUAUUCUACUUUUUGAUUAGGGGACUUAUGAGAUUGAUAGCUUAAUUAUAGGUUGAUUCUUAUUCCCAAGGAAAUGUUGUUCUAUUUUCAUUCUACGAAUCAAAAGAAAGCCAUUAGUAUCGCAUGGAAUUGGUAUGGUGAGGGUGGGGCUCAUAUUUCGCAAAAGCUCGUUGCUUCUCUAUUUUCAUUCCUUUUAUCAGCUGGUAUCUUCGUGCGCGCCCGCGCUCGCGUGGAGGUAUUGUGGUAAUUUAAAAGUUCACGAAGAUCCAUGUGCUAUUCUGGGAAUUAUAGAAGUUGAACAAUUCAUUAUGAGGAUGAGCCUUUAUCGAUUCUUGUCCCUAGACCUUUUGUGACGCUUUAUAUUUAGUCAUCAUAUAUGACUGUGAGGUUUCAAAUGUCAAUGCCUUGUCUUUUGUUUUGCCUUUUUCCAAAGCAGAGCAUGCUUUUGUCACGUACAUAUGGACAGGGAAACAACCAACAGGUACCGUAGUGGCACUGCGUUGAAGUUGCUGAAAGAAGAUGAAAGAAGUGGGAGGUGAAAGAGAUGGAUCAUGCAUACUCGCGCACGGGUGCUGGUUUUGACGGGGUGGACAACCGCUCAUCUGCAUUAUUUUCUUUUAUCAUUAGUCGGAAAAGACAUUACAUGGAUUCAUUUACAGACGAUGUGACGGACUGAUAGAUCUUACCACAAUGUAGGAAAUAUGUUUGAAAAUUAUAAUAUGUGUUGUUAUAGUAGGAAGAGUGGUAUUGAUGUGCA